AUACGGAGGAUCCGAGCGUUAUCCGGAUUUAUUGGGUUUAAAGGGAGCGUAGGUGGACAGUUAAGUCAGUUGUGAAAGUUUGCGGCUCAACCGUAAAAUUGCAGUUGAUACUGGUUUCCUUGAGUACGGUACAGGUGGGCGGAAUUCGUGGUGUAGCGGUGAAAUGCUUAGAUAUCACGAAGAACUCCGAUCACGAAGGCAGCUCACCGGGCCGGAACUGACACUGAUGCUCGAAAGUGCGGGUAUCAAACAGGAUUAGAUACCCUGGUAGUCCGCACAGUAAACGAUGAAUACUCGCUGUUUGCGAUACACGGUAAGCGGCCAAGCGAAAGCGUUAAGUAUUCCACCUGGGGAGUACGCCGGCAACGGUGAAACUCAAAUGAAUUGACGGG
rnacentral:rRNA from 1 species